rnacentral:rRNA from 1 species
GACGAACGCUGGCGGCGUGCUUAACACAUGCAAGUCGUACGGUAAGGCCCUUUCGGGGGUACACGAGUGGCGAACGGGUGAGUAACACGUGAGUAACCUGCCCACAACUUUGGGAUAACGCUAGGAAACUGGUGCUAAUACUGGAUAUGUGCUCCUGCUGCAUGGUGGGGGUUGGAAAGCUCCGGCGGUUGUAGAUGGACUCGCGGCCUAUCAGCUUGUUGGUGGGGUAGUGGCCUACCAGGGCGGCGACGGGUAGCCGGCCUGAGAGGGUGACCGGCCCCAUUGGGACUGAGGGACGGCCCAGACGCCGACGGGAGGCAGCAGGGGGGAAUAUUGCACAAUGGGCGCAAGCCGGAUGCAGCAACGCCGCGUGCGGGAUGACGGCCUUCGGGUUGUAAACCGCUUUCAGCAGGGACGAAGCUUUUUGUGACGGUACCUGCAGAAGAAGCACCGGCUAACUACGUG